GUCCUGGUUGUGGACGACGCCGCCCCGCCCCGCCCUCACUCUCUUCUGCACGAUAACCUAUCCGCCGCAGUUCACCGCUCUUCUCCGGCUCCUCACGCCGCCCUCGUCUCCAUUGCGGUGGCACCUCCCUGUACGGCAGAAUAGCUAGCGGCGUGCGGGCAGAAGCUGCACGCUUUACUGCUGUGCCGGCAAGUGGGAAGCAAGCACGGGAGGCUCGUGUAGGCGGGUGGCUAUGGAGAACGGCCCGCUCAAACCGCCGCCCUCGUUGUCGUCUCCCUUGACCUCCUCAUCUUCAAGCCCCACCGCUAGCUCGGCCCUCUAGAGUCAUCUCCCUUUUGGUUCAAGCUCGGCUCAGGGAAGAGAUUCAGGACCAUGCAUGCUUCUGGCACUAAUUCAGAAAUAUAGUAUUAAUCAAAGAUAUUCAAGUUUAUACAAUAAGCUAUACAUCAUCUAAACUCAAGUGGAUAUGCCAGGGAAAGAGAGAACAUUGGAUGGAGGAAUUAUGCAAUUAAAGUGGCAUGAUCAUCAAAGAUAAAUUAAAUCAUGGAAACCCCCAGCUAGCUAGCAGAACUACACACAUGAAUGACUGUUGAUUAUAGCCGAUGUGACACAAUGAUGUGAGGAAACCCAAGCAUAAGAGAAGUGAUAUGCAAAAUCAGUCCGAAAUGACAAUCCGACAAAGGCUGCUCCACUGGGUAGCAAAUGAAACCUUUCAAGUUUGGCUGUUGCUCCAUUUUGUUAUAUAUUCCUUUGUCCAGUUGAUUCCUUUUGGUCCUUAUUAGAGUUGUGUUUCCAAGAAGCUUAUUCGAUCAGGAUAUAAGCAAUAUGACAUUGCCUUUUUUCGUGCAGAUUUGGAUACAUGG